rnacentral:lncRNA from 1 species
UGUGCCUCGGGCCAGUUGUAUCUCAACUAUAGGAAUUUUUUGUUUUGAACUGUAAACCAAUAAUGAUUAUAACGGCAAUCAUCCUUAUUGCAAACAUCUUCAAAUAGACUGUCCUUAUGAAAAUUAAAAAGUAAGCUCCGCCCGAUCAGUUGAAAUAACAUUGGUAAUAGGCAUAAACAAUCGGAUUAACCGCUUACUAAGACCACGAUUUAAU